rnacentral:rRNA from 1 species
CCCUUAGAUGUUCUGGGCCGCACACGCGCUACACUGAAGGAGGCAGCGUGUACUCCUGGAUCGAAAGAUUUGGGUAACCCGCGAAUCUCCUUCGUGCUAGGGAUUGAGGUUUGCAAUUAUCCUUCAUGAACGAGGAAUUCCCAGUAAGUGCAAGUCAUAAGCUUGCGCUGACUACGUCCCUGCCCUUUGUACACACCGCCCGUCGCUACUACCGAUUGAAUGAUUUAGUGAGAUCUCGGGACUGGCACAGGGUGGCUGGCAACAGCUGGCCUGAGCCGGGAACUUGCUCAAACUUGAGUCUUUAGAGGAAGUACAAGUCGUAACA